rnacentral:rRNA from 1 species
UACGAAGGGGGCUAGCGUUGCUCGGAAUCACUGGGCGUAAAGGGCGCGUAGGCGGACCUUUAAGUCGGGUGUGAAAGCCCCGGGCUCAACCUGGGAAUUGCAUUCGAGACUGAAUAGCUAGGGUACGGUAGAGGGAAGCGGAAUUUCCGGUGUAGCGGUGAAAUGCGUAGAUAUCGGAAGGAACAUCAGUGGCGAAAGCGGCUUCCUGGACCAGUACCGACGUUCAGGCACGAAAGCGUGGGGAGCAAACAGG